UACGGGGGGGGUAAGCGUUGUUCGGAAUUACUGGGCGUAAAGGGCGCGUAGGCGGCCAACUAAGUCAGACGUGAAAUCCCCAGGCUCAACCUGGGAACUGCGUCUGAUACUGGAUGGCUCGAGUUCGGGAGAGGGAAGCGGAAUUCCAGGUGUAGCGGUGAAAUGCGUAGAUAUCUGGAGGAACACCGGUGGCGAAGGCGGCUUCCUGGACCGACACUGACGCUGAGGCGCGAAAGCUAGGGGAGCAAACGGG
rnacentral:rRNA from 1 species